UACGGAGGGUGCAAGCGUUAAUCGGAAUUACUGGGCGUAAAGCGCACGCAGGCGGUCAAUUAAGUCAGAUGUGAAAGCCCCGGGCUUAACCCGGGAAUUGCAUCUGAUACUGUUCAGCUAGAGUGUUGUAGAGGGAGGUAGAAUUCCAUGUGUAGCGGUGAAAUGCGUAGAGAUGUGGAGGAAUACCGGUGGCGAAGGCGGCCCUCUGGACAAAGACUGACGCUCAGGUGCGAAAGCGUGGGGAGCAAACAGG
rnacentral:rRNA from 1 species